GUGAUCAACAAACACGUCCAUUUUAAAGUAUUCGUCAGUUGUCAUCAUGCGAUUCCAGGGGAACAAUAUAAACUAGUAGUUGUUGAGGGAUUUUUCGUAUUGACCAGGCCAGCCAUAGACUGAAAAUUAUGAAGGACAAUAUGAAUAUCCUGUGUCAUACGUUCUGGAUUCCUAUACUUCAUGUUCUGAAUGGUAAACAUGCAUCGACAAUAGUAAAACAUAUUAACAUAACAACUCCAGAAGGAUAUGAAAGAAUUGAUUUAUCAGAUUAUUGUAUUAAGCCUACGGACGAGUCAUUCCAGUUCCAGGCUAUGGCCUCCGACAAUGUAUGGAUAAGCUUGAUUACGGAUAUUGGAAUCACCGGACCUGGAUACCAGAUAGGUAUAGGGGCUAACGCUAAUACACGUUGUGAUAUCCGACGAGGGAUAGUAAGUGAUGACAAUUAUGUGGAAUGGGAGU